rnacentral:rRNA from 1 species
AAUUUCUGGCUUUAUGGACUCGACCCACUGCCAUGUGUAGUGAGUGUUGGGUUCAUGGGUCAUCCUUCUGGGGAGCACCUCUGACCUUGAUUGGUUCGGUUGUGUGAUCCAGAUCAUUUACUGUGAGUAAAUCAAAGUGUUCAAAGCAGGCUUCUGAAGCUUGUAUGCUCUAGCAUGGAAUAAUAAGAUAGGACUUUGGUUCUAUUUUGUUGGCUUCUAGGACCAAAGUAAUGAUCGAUAGGGAUAGUUGGGGGUGCUAGUAUUUAACGGUCAGCGGUGAAAUGCUCAGACCCGUUAAAGACUAACUAAUGCGAAAGCAUU